CAGGCUCUCGUUGGCCUGCUGCCGGCGAAGCGCCACCUGCGCGGCCAUCACCCGCUGCCGCUCGAUGAUGAGGAUGCACUUCUCGCAGGUGCAGUCCUUGAAGCGACAGUAGCGCUUGUGGCCCUUCAGCCAGGACAGCACACCGUGGUUGCGGCACCGGGCGCACUUGGGCGUCCGCUGCAGCGGAGCCCGCGGCGGCUGCGACACCGGGCCGCCCAUGUAGAGGGAGAAAGCGACUCGGGGAGAUCUUUCCCCCCACGACUGUGUGCGGGAUGAGAGGGAGGAUGAGCGCCCAUAGGCUAACCGCACCGAGGCGGGAGGCGAAUCGUUCAUGUGCUGGGAACGGCCCGUUUUCCCGCAGCGCCGGUGGGACCUCCUGCUCCUCGUUGCCGGCGAGCGUGCACUGUACCCGUAGAGUCCCGCAUCCCGCUGCACCGCGGCGCACCGGACACAUGCGUGGUCCCCGUCAGGGUCAGAAAAACCCGACGCGGAGCAAAUACCCAGCCACUACAAAACGGCAA